UUUUAUUUGAGAGUUUGAUCCUGGCUCAGGAUGAACGCUGGCGGCGUGCCUAACACAUGCAAGUUGAGCGAUUUACUUCGGUAAAGAGCGGCGGACGGGUGAGUAACGCGUGGGUAACCUACCCUGUACACACGGAUAACAUACCGAAAGGUAUGCUAAUACGGGAUAAUAUAUUUGAGAGGCAUCUCUUGAAUAUCAAAGGUGAGCCAGUACAGGAUGGACCCGCGUCUGAUUAGCUAGUUGGUAAGGUAACGGCUUACCAAGGCGACGAUCAGUAGCCGACCUGAGAGGGUG
rnacentral:rRNA from 1 species